rnacentral:lncRNA from 1 species
CAAUAUCAGGUCUGGUAUUGCACAAAUACCUCAGAGAACCAACCAACUGUUUGAAGGUUGUAGCGUCCACAUCCUUUCCAUCAGAGUCAGAUCCAGUUUUUGAUUUGUAUCAGAAGGUGUUACAGCAAUCUACAAUUCUCUCAGUUCAAAUCUCUUCAGAAGUUCUAAUUCAUACUUGAGCUGAUGCAAAUAAUACCUUCUCAGAGUAUCUGAAUUUCAUCCUAGAAAGUAUGUCAUUUUGCCUAGAUCAGUCAUUUCGAAUUCAUUCAAGAACUUUCUUGAACUUGGCUAUCUCCUGUUCAGAACUUCCAGUCAAUAGUAUAUCAUCAACAUAUAAACAUACCAGAGUCAUAUUUCCUUCAGAAGUAUGCUGAACAUAGACACCGUACUCCAUCUCACAUUUCUGAAAGUCUUGCUUCUUGAAAAAUGAAUCAAUCUUCUGAUUCCAAGCUCUGGGCGCUUGUUUCAAUCCAUAUAGAGCUUUGUAUAAUCUGUACACCAUCCCUUCCUGAUUCUUUUUCACAAAUCCAGGAGGUUGUGACACGUAAACUUCUUCUUCUAAUGGACCGUCAGAAAUGAGAUUUUACAUUUAAAUGCAUCAGAGGCCAAUCCUGUUAGCAGCUAUUGCAAUCACCAUUCUGAUUGUUUCAUGUCUUGCUACAGGUGCAAACACUUCAGAGUAAUCCAGCCCAGGUUUCUGUAGAAAUCCUCUGGCUACCAACCUUGCUUUAUGUUUGCCAAUUGAACCAUCUGGCUUUAACUUCUGCUUGAAACCCAUCUAACGCUGAUGGCUUUCUUGUCUUUUGGAUGUUGUGUCAGCUUCCAAGUCUUGUUUCUCUCUAUAGCAUCAAGUUCUUCUUUCAUGGCCUUCAGCCAGAGCUUCUGCUUAAGAGCCCUUCUGUACUUAUGGUUCAGAGUCUACUAACAUGGCACACUGAAUAACUUCUCCUUCGAGUCUACUUCAGUGUCUUGCAGCAUGUCAAAUUCUGCAUAUCUUCUGGGGAUGUUUCUGAUUCUUUGUGGUCUCUGAACUUGUUCAGAGUCUUGAGCUUCAGAGUUUCUAGCUUCAGAUGGUUGACUUCCUCCAGAGCUUUGACCAUCUUCAGGGUCUGGCAUAUUUCCAGAGUCUGAAUUGCCACCAGAAUCUGGAUUACCAUCAGAGUCUGGGUCAUCAAGUCUGGAUCAUCAGAGUCACUUUCAUCUUCUGAGUCUUCUCCAGAGUCAGACUCACUAUCAGAAUCAGAAUCAACGUCUUCAGAAAUUCUUAACUCUGACCUUUCUUCAGAGGUUCUAACAUCAGAAUCAGAUUGAGACUUAUCCAAUUCCAAACUUCUGAUUCCUUCACAAUCACAUCUCUGCUGAAUUCAAUUUUAUUGUUUCUGGAUAAUAGAGCUUGUAUGCAUCUGUACUGUGGUACCCUAUCAGAAUCAUCACUUUGCUUCUAUCAUCCAGCUUUUGUCUUCUGGCUUCUGGAACAUGUUUAUAGCAAACAGAACCAAACACCUUCAGAUGAUUAACACUUGCUUAUCUCCAGUCCACUCUUGUAUUGGAACUAUUUCCUUCAACUUCUUCGUAGGACAUCGGUUGAGUACAUACGUUGCAGUGGCAACAGCUUCUCCCCAGAGCUUCUGAGGAAGCUCUCCCUUUAGCAUGCUUCUCACCAUAUCAGGCAAAGUGCGGUUUCUUCUUUCAGCAAGACCAUUGUGUUGAGGGGUAUAAGGAGCAGUAACCUCAAUGCUCAAUUUCAUUCUCCUCACAGAACUUCUGGAACUCUUUGGAGUUAUACUCACCUCCACCGUCAGUUCUAAGAAUCUUCAACUUCUGACCACUCUGAUUCUCAGCCUUCAUUCUGAACUUCUUGAAUUCAUCAAACACCUUGUGUUAAACUUAAUAAGGAAUACCCAUGUCAUUCUUGUGAAUUCAUCAACAAAUAACACAAAGUAUUUAUUCCCUCCAAUCGAUGCUAUUGGAAAUGGACCAACACUCAGAAUGUACAACUCCCAAGGCAUGUUUUGCUCUUGGAGCAGUUUCUGACGCAAAUGGCAAUCGUGGUUGUUUUCCUUCCAUGCAAACUUUGCAUGACUUUUCAGGCUUCUUAAUGCAGGAAUUCCAUGUACCAACUUCUUUGAAUUCAAAUGUUUUAAGCUUCUGAAAUUCAAAUGACCAAAUCUUCUGUGCCACAGCUCACUCUCCUUCUCAGCACUUGUUGCACUAAGACAUUCUGAGUCUGCAGUUCUGACAUUCACCUUGAAUGUUUCUAUUCCUUCCCUGUUCUGACUCCAUAAUCAACUUCUGAUUGCAGUCAUACAACUUCAGAAGAUUGUCCUUCAUGGUAACUGAAAACCUUUCUCAAUUAAUUGUCCACACUCAUCAGAUUGCUUCUGAUGCCAGGUACAUACCACACAUUCUGAAUCAAUGCUGUUUCCAUUGUUCAGAAUCACUCUGACGUUUCCCAUACCUUCUGCAUUAAGAUGUUUGUCAUCAGCACAUCUGAUCUUUGUCCUCUUUCAGAGUCAAAGUCAACCAGCCAUUUCUUGUUUCCAGUAAGAUGAUUUGAACAGCCAGUGUCCAUAUACCACCAGUCUAUCAGAUCCAUAUCAUCAGAUUCAGAGGCCAUCAAUAUCACAGAUUCGUCAUCAGAACUUCUGGCUAUAUUUGCUUCUUCUGAUUUUCUCUCCUUGUUUAACCAACAGUCUCUAGCAAAGUGACCAAACUUCUUACAGCAGUAACAUUGGAUCUUCUUCUUGUCAUACUUCUCUUUUCCCUUCUGAGCAUUCUUUUGUCUAUCAGAGGUUGAGCUUUCUGACUUCUGACCACCAUCAGAUCUUCUCCUGGGUUCUGACUGCUUCUGAUACCUCCUACCAGAAGUUGCUUUCAGAGCAUGCUGCUCUACUUCCCUUUCAGAAGUUCUUUCAGUCAAGCGCAACUCUUGCGCUUCUAGACUGUUCUGCAGCUCUUCAAUUCUCAUGGUGCUCAGAUCUUUGGAAUGUUCUAUUGCUACCACAAUGUAAUCAAAUUGAGAGGUAAGGGAUCUCAAUACCUUCUCCAUGAUUGUUUCUUCAGAAAGAUUUCUCCACACGCUUUCAUCUCAUUAGUGAUCAGAAUCACUCUGGAGAUGUAUUCAGAAACUUUCUCAUAUUCUUCAUGUUGAGAUUCUCAUAUUGCUUUCUCAAGGACUGAAGCUUCACCUUCUUCACUGAUGCGUCACACCAUAACUCUAACCAGUGUGUCCCACGCAGCCUUUGCUGUCGUUGAAUCUGCAAUCUUCUCAAACACAUUUACAUCAACACAUUGACGAAUGAAGAACAAUGCUUUCUGAUCCUUCUUUCUUACUUUCCUUCUGCGCGUUUUUCUGUUCAUCCGUCGCAUCUGCUGCUACCGAGAACAUAACCAUCAGUGACAAGAUCUAGAACAUCUUGAGCACCGAACAGUACACGCAUUUGGAUCAUCCAACGAUUCCAGUUUUUACCGUCAAAUACUGGAAGUUUGGUGUUCAUGUUGCCGUUUCCGUUCAUUUCUACCUUGCCACAAUACACUCAGAUUUCUCACACAGUGUUUCCUAACCCACAGAAUUAAAAUUCUGAUCAGAUUUUGUUCAAGAUUCAACACGAAUCUAAGAAUCAAAAUCAAACACACAAGACCUCACGUUCACUCGUGUUUCCCGUGUUUCCCAGUGAAUCUGAACCGGAGCUCUAGAUACCAAUUGUUGGUGCAAAGGUAGAAUAAAUGAUGAAUAUUCUAUUAAGAGAAUGACGGCUACAAAACAUGAUAAAAGUUACAAUGAUUGUCACCCUAUUUAUAAGCUAAAACUAGGGUUACUAGAGUAGGAUAAAAUACUAAAAUACCCUCUAACAAACUUAGGGGCUAAGAAAAUAGUACAACUAAUAAAUAUGAAUUACUUCUAAUAGUUAUGUCUCUCUAAAGUUUUAAUUUUGUUGUUUGUGUCGUUUUCUAUAUUAUUGUUUAUCGUUUUUGGUUAUAAAGUCUUCCCUAAAUACGUUUUGCGCAUGUCUUAAAAUUGAGGGAAAUUCAUUUUCUGGUGUUUUGCAUUAAAGCAUUAACUCGAACCAUAAGAUAAAAUUCGAUGCAAAGUGGUUCAAUUCACAUUAGUUAAUUAUUUGGAUAAAAAAACACAUGAAUGAAUGAUCCUUAUCAUAUUAGCUUUAGAUUCAAUCAACUACUUCAUUUUUAUUAAAAUAGUAACUUUUUGAAGAAAUCUAGCAUGUUCCUUCUUUUUUAUCUUAUUUUUUUAUUUUUAUGUUACCAUUCUCUUCUUCUACACCAUUCUUAAAAUCAACCUUAAAAUAGAUCAAAUUUAUAAUUUUUCUAAAACUAUUUUUAUUAUAAUUCACUUCCUCUGCCUUUUGUGUUUUAAAUCACUUGAGUAACAUAUUUGAUAUGUGAAAUUCAGUUGUUAAAUUACUUUUUUAAAGAUUGUUAAGUGUGAUUUUCUCAAUCCACUUUCAUUUAUCGCCACUUUUAAUCUCAUUUCACUAGCACAAUGCAUAAAUAGAGAGAGAAUACUGAUAACAAAUAGAUUGUCUAGCCUUGUUGUAAGAGAUACAGUAAACCAAUAAGACUCUUGUAAUUUGAAGAAAAACUACCGUGUUGGCUGUUUCUACCAAAAAUUGGUUUAGCAAGCCAUCUCCAUUACGAAUCUAUUUCUCCUUCCACAAACUCAAUUUUUCUCUAGAAUGUACAGAUUUUUGAGUUGGUAUACAAUGUCCACUUUAUAUAUAUAUAUAUAUAUAUAUAUAUAUAUAUAUAUAUAUAUAUAUNUAUAUAUAUAUAUAUAUAUUCCUUAUUUUUGAAUAUUAGAAUCUGAACCUUGAAGUUUUCACCAUCUUCUUGAACUUUAUAAAUACUCCACCCUCUUCAUGCUUGAAUUUUAAGAAAAAAUAAAUCCAAUACAUUCUUGUAAAAUUAUCUACUAUCGCGGCCUAAAAAUUCAAGGAUUACUCGAAGUAAUGAAAUCAUCAUAAAAGUUCAAUAAAUUAGAAAAAAAACAUUAAUAGAAUCCUUUUAAACAAAAAAAAUGGUCUCUGAAACCAGAUUUUAUGUUCAUGAGUCGAUUAUGCGUAAGAAAUGUAUUAGCACCAUCCGACAUCCAUUUUUAAAAUGGUUACUUCUAAUUAAUUAUGCAAAAGAUGUUGUUAACCUUGUGAUAAUUUUUUCUCCUAAUCAUUAAAUACAAAAUAUAGCAUGUUUAAAAGGAAAGAGGAUUUUUUUUAUUGUGCUCGACAAGAGUUGAAUUUUGCUCCUACAUAUGCCCUGGUACGGUGGAGAUUUCAAAGUUAUGUAAUUUUUUGGGUAAAAAAAUCUUGUGUGUUGGUUGAAUAUUUUUUAUUUUAAAAAGGGUUUAUCACGGUGAAACAAAAACAGUGUUUGUUUGUUUGGUGUGAUUGUUUUUUAGGAGGAAGACAAGUGUUAUAACAAGCAAACGAUAUGACUUGUGUCUGAACACUGGAGGCUAAAAAUGGGUGUAAAUACAAUUAAUCUCUUUUUAAUCCAAUUUUAUUUGUAAGAAAAAUGACUUAAAACGAAUUGGUUUUUAAUCUCUUUAAGGAAGGUAAGCAUAAGAACAAACAAGAUGUAUGACUAGUGUUCGAACACUUGAGGAUAAAAUGGAUGUACAUCUAAUUAAUCCUUUUUCAAUCCAAUAAAAGGUUGAACUCAAAACGAUCAAGUUAUUGUUUUUUCCGAAAGAGAGGCAAAUGUUAGAACAAGCAAGCGGUACGACAUGUGUCCAAACACUUGGGGAUAAAAAGGAUGUAUAUCUAAUUAAUCAUUUUUUAUUCCAAUUUUGACUUAUAAAAAAGAUUUGAAAGUUAAGUCAUUGUUUUUUUUAGAAAGGCAGAUAAGAGUUAGAACAAGAAAGUAAUAUGACUUGUGUAUGAACACGUGAGAAUUAAAGGGAUGUACAUCCAAUUAAUCCUUUUUCUAGUUCAGUUUUGGUUUAUAAAAAAAAUUAUUCGAAACAACCAAGUCGCUGUUUUUAUGGAAAGGAAGCACUACAGUUAUUAUUGUCAACCAUGGUGAAAAGAAUUUCUUAAAAAUUAAAACAUAACACAUUUUAGUUUAUGUAUUUCAUAACAAAUGUUCCAUUAUGAAAGAACAGAAGUAAGCGAUUGAAAAUACUAAGCAAACUCCACCAUUUCAGGUUCGAAUCAAGGAGUGGAAAGAUGAAACUUCAAGAAACGUACACGAAAAAUCAUUCUCUGCCUCUUCCUCUUGUCCACAGUUACAGUACGCUAUCUAUUUCUCCACCAUUCAUGUUGAGUUUUAGGUUUUUGCCAUUUGUUGAGAUAGUUAUUGAUGACAGUCGUCAUUACGUGAUUUUUAUGAGAAAAUUGGGAAGAAUAUUGACCAAAAGCAAAGCCAAAGUGUGAAGAAAGAAGCAAAAAAACAAAACAAGGAAGAAACGGGCACUUGAUGAAAUUUGUGAAGAAAAUUGAAGAAAAGUGUGGGAUUUUUCCACUGGAAUUCUCGCGCCCACGAUGCAUCCCAUCGCAUCACGCUAAGGCUUGCAUUGCGGUGCAAUACUAAUUAUUGUGGACGCGAUGGAGCUUUUUGAGCUAACACGCAUUUUUCUAUUUAAAGCAUCUUUUGGCCACUUUUUCAAGGGGGUCCAAAUCAGAGAGAAAGUGACAGCUAGGGUCAUCCAACGAGCGAUUUUAAGCAUAUUUUAGUCAUUGGAGAGCAAUUGUUCCAUAGAUUUUGAUGAUGAAUAUUUCUCCACUCGUGGUAUUUGUCAAUUUAUCAAUGAGUAGCUAUGUUUCCCUAGGUUAUGUCUUUUUUCAUGAUGAAACUAGUUUUAUUCUAUUGGGACAUAUGAAUGGAUGAUUUUAAUGUUAUUGAUUUGACAUAUUGUUAUUAUUCAAUUAUCGCUUAUGUUCAUUGUCUAUUGUAUGUUACAUCACACAAUCUGAUAUAGGUAAGUAAUGACAUAUUGACCGUAGGAUUGCUUAUCGGAAAUAGGUAAUUGUUUGAUUAUCUAAUUAACUUGGGAUAGUCUAAUUAGGAAUUGUGAAUUAGGGAUUAACAUGUUAUAGGGCUUAGCUGACGUUUCAAUUGGACUGAGGGAUCCGAGAAUUAACACUUAGACUAGUGAGUUGCACAUCAAGGGAUUGGGUGCAAUGGUAGGGUUAGUCUGUCGUGUAACUCUUAUAUCCCUGCAUGUCUUUAAUGCAUAUUUCAUCAAUAGAAUAGAAGUAGGGGAUUCUAACGAAAAUACCUAAUCGGCUUUAUAAUCGUAUCUUUUCCAAAGUUAAUUUUUCCUUAUUUUUGGAGCAAACAAACAAUUUUCAAACAAACCCCCCUUUGGUUACAUUAACUCGCACUUGUUUUCCUUGUUAAAAUCCAAUCCUCAUGGGGACGAAUUUUAUAUUAUUACUUCCAUACAUACUAGUACACUUACUAGUUUUGCCAUCAAGUUUUUGGUGUCCUUGUUAGGGAUUAUUGAUUUCAACAAGGUAAUUUUUGUGCGAAGUUUGUUAUCUUUAAAUUUUUAGGUUUAAAUUUGAAUUUUCUUUGUUGCUAUUUUCUGUUUUAUCUCUAUUUUUGUUUUAGUUUGUUUUAGUUCUUAUUUCUUAGUUGGUUAGUGUAAAUAUCUAUAAUUCUUUUUUUUAAUGUUUUUAUUCUUAUUGCUACUAUUUUAAUUUUUAUUUUUAUUUGCUAUUUUUAGUUAAUUUUUUUAUCUGAUUCAUUGCUACUGAGGUAUUGUUUUUCUUCUAAUGUGUAUGCGAGGUAAAGAAAGAAAUAUAUAAUGGAGUUGACUCUCAAGUUAUUCUGUUAGCACAACUUCAAGCUUUAUCAAAGAAACUUGUUGCAUGAACUCUAGUUCCAACAAGUGUUAAUCCAUGUAGGGAAUUACAAUGUGAUUUUUAUGGUGAAGGUCACGCCAAUGGCUCUUGUGUACCACAUGUUGAAUAAAUGCAUUAUUCGAGAAAUUAUCCAGAGCCAAACCUUUACUUCAACGCCUGUCAAAGGUGUUAUAAUCAUUCAUGUCGUAAUUGGGGUAGUAAUCAAAUUCAAAAUUUCAACCAAGAACCUCCUCAUGAUCCACCAUCAAGGACAUCAUCCGUUCUAGUGGAAACUUUGUAUGAAUUUCUGAGGGUUGCUCAAAAUAAUUUUAGAACAAGUGAUGUCACUCAAGAAAUACCUGAAAGGGAGUUAUCUCUUCUAUAAGAGACUAUGAACCAAUUCAUGUUGACUCAAAGUAAGUUGGAAGCAACAAACUCAAAAAUUGAAGCAUUCCGCAAGAACCUUGAAGAAUCCAACAAGAAAAUUGAAGCAUCUAACAAGAACAUUAAAGAUGAAUGGGAAGUAGUUGAUAAAGGAGGAUUUGAAAAAGAAAAAUAAGAAGAAAAAUACAUGCCAUCAGAUGAAGAAACUAAAUCAAGAUUAGAAGAAUCUAAGGUAGAAAAUUGGAUGUAGCACAAGAGCAAAAAUGCAAAGUGAGGAUGAUCUUAUUUUGGAUGAAGAUUCAAAUUCAAUAAUGUGUUUAGACAUAGAUAUCCAACAAGAAAAUAUUCAAAUAAAGCAUGUCCCAAAAAGUUAUUUUAUCAACAAGGUAAAUAGAAGAGAAGAAAUUGAUAAAGUAUUGGAUGACAUUUAUGCCUUGUUUGCAAUUAUCAAGCUAAAGAAGAUAUAAAAGCAACACUUGAAGGUGACAAAGUUAUACAUAAUGACGGGGGUUGAAUUGUGUAUAUGGAAAUUUACUUCUUUUUCUUAAAUCUAUUCAGAACUUGAGAUGUAACUCAGAUUCUGAUCCAAGUAAGAGUCUGAAUCAGUUCAGAUUUUCACUUCAGAGUUUGUUGCACAUCAAAAUAUAAAUGCAUAAGUAAAUAGAAAAAUACAUAAUAUAUUUUGGUUUCUCUCAAACCAAGAGUAAUCUAGCCCCCUUGCAACACAAGAUAUUUUCACUGUAAUCACUCAAAUUACAAUUUGCUCAAUCAAACUAGAAAAGACUUCUACCGAAGCCCUCAAGCAAGAGACCUCCUUACCUGAACUACCUGUUCAGGACUUCCAUCUCAAUCCCAAGAAAAGGGACUUAUGCUCAAGCCUUCAAGUAAGAGACUUCCUUGCCUGAACUACCCGUUUAGGACUUCCUGCUCAAUCUAUCCAGAAGGAGACUUCCUUCUCUACCCACAAGCAUGAGACUUCCUUACUCAAUCUGUCCAGAAAGAUACUUCUUUGCUCAUGCACCCAACCAGAUACUUCUUUGCUCAAUCUAAUAGAAAUAUACUUACUCUGAGUACACCAGCUAGAGUCUUCAAAUUCUCUUAACAAAAAAGUAUGGUGUUAACCUUAUGUUUAUGUGUGUGCUUCUUGGUUAAACAGAUACGUAAAGGUUAUACACUUUUGAGCAAAAUGCAAGUUGAUUUCUCCUAAGUGUGGAAGAUUGAAGUUUUUAAUCUUCUUCUCUUCAAGCAAAUAUUUUCUUCUUUGUUGUGCCUUUCUGUUUUGAUGAUCUUCUUGAUCAUUUUCACUCUACUCUCACACACUUAACCCUUGUAGUUAUAUUUUCCAUUUAGUGUGUGUUUCUUUAAUCUAUGUUUUCUGUAUAAACACAGUCUCUCUCUCUCAACCCAUAUUGUAAACUAGUAUCACAUCUUUGUGAACACAAUCAUGUAUUAUUCAACCUUAUACAUUCUUGGUCAGAACUGACACAUUGAAUGCUUUCAAUCUUCUUCUUAAAUAGAUGUUGAGAAUAUAUCUGUUGAAGAUUGAAAUUACCAAUGCUACAAGUAGUUGUUGAAUGUCUUUAUCUAGAUCACGUGAAAUAUACUUUAAACUCGGCAAGCAUAAAGACAUUGAGAUGAGCAUAGUAGAGUUCAGAGUAGUUGAAGAGAUCAGAUCCUGACAAUGUUACUUUAUAUUAAUUUGACAUAAAGUAGUGUAUCGUUGUCACGUGAUCUUCUAUAGAUAACUUCUUGUGAGUGCAACUUUCUGUUAGAUGUAUUAUGUAUGAUGUCAAAACUAGGAUACUUUAGCAUUUAUGUAUAUUGGACGGUAUCUCUCUGAGUCUUAAUGUGCAUCUUAGCAUUAGGAAGCAUAAGUUUUUCUUGAAAUGAUUUAUAAAAGGUUUCAUUCAUUAAAAAAAUAAGUUUUAUGGGAAAAAAGUCUAUGUGUCGACACCUAUGUGAUAUAGGUCGACACAUAUAAGAAACAUUUUCCUAUGUGCCGACACAUACGAGUUACAGGUCAACACAUGUACCUCAUUUUUAAAUCUUGUAGCUUCUAUUUGAUGUGCCGACUAUAUGUGUCGACACAUGACCUACACAGGUCGACACAACAUCGAAUGUGUCGACACAUGACUUACAUAGUUCGACACAUGCAACACAUUUUUCCAUAAUUUCAUGAUUUCUUUCAAAUCUUUUGCAUUCCUUUUGCCUCCAACUUGCACACAUAUAUACUUCAUUCAUGCAUCAUUUCUAAAAGUGAUUUUGAGAAAAUCAUAUACGAAACCGGGAUUUCAAAGAGUACUCAUCAUCUUCUACCUACGUUUUAUGCAUACACAUAAACAAACUACACAUAAUCAUUCUUGGUUUGGGUGCCAUCUAGAAUCAGUGUUGAUAACAUCCCAUUUAGGUUGUUGAAUUGUAAUUUGGGUUGAUAUCUUUGAGGGUUUCAAAUAAGAAAACCAAGAUGGGGUUUUCCUUCAAGAUCAAUUAGGGAUUUGAAGGUUUUGGACAAGAUUAUGUAGUUUGGAUCUGAUCGAGUGAAAGCUUUGAAGAAUGGGGGUUUCUUACAAAGAAGUAUCGUGAGACGGUGGAUCAUAUUGGUAAAUCUUGGGUUACAACAAUUUACAAUUUGGAUUCGAUCGAGUGAAAUCUUUGAAGAACGGAAGGUUCUUGCAAAGGAGUAGCGUGAAAUGGCGGAUCAAAUUGGUAUUGUUGGGUGACUUGAUCAAGGGAAGAGAAAGUGUUAGAAUCAACAUCAAACAUAGGGUUUGUAGGGUUGGGAUUUUACAUUUCUCUUGUAUUCUACUUUUGUAGAGUAAGGUUAAUUUCAUUAUCUUAAUUCGAGUUCGAAUUGAGGGCAGACGUAUCCAUAGCGAGACUAAUUGGGGAACUUCCAAAACAUAUCCUUGUGUACUCUCUCUCUCUCUCUCUUUAUAUAUAUAUAUAUAUAUAUAUAUAUAUUAUGUUUCAUUUGCAAAUUCUUGAAUUCAUCGAUUGUGCGAUCAAUACGUUUGGUUAAACCUUUUGAUAAUCAUUUGGAAAAAAAAUUGUUGAGUUAAUCACAAUCUAUUAGAUUGUGGUUGGAUUUCAAGAUCAACAAAACCAUACAAAAUUCUAAACAAAAUUGAUUGCACACAAGGUGUUUGAUAAUUUGUCUCUAUGGUAUUUUUGUGUAUUUUAUCAUUGGGAAUAGUAUCUACUAUUAGAGUAGCAUUCAAGUGAUUGUGAUUAAUAGUAUUUUGAUCAAUUUGUUCUCAUUAUCAUAACUUGACUUUAUAUACGCACAUCCAAGCUUUUUGGUAGCAGUUCGGUUUAGACAAUUUGAUCCAAGUCACUUUAGCUACCCAUUAAAUUUUUCAAAACAGUUUUUGUAAGCUUGUUUUUAACUUGGGGUCUAUUCACCCCCUCUAGACUGUUGUCUAUCGUCUAACACUUCUGACUAGAGACUUCUUGUAGACGUUUGUUGAAGCUUGAUCUGAGUCAUUGUUAUCUUUAUACAUAACUUCCUGAAUCAUAGGCUUUUUAUAGAAUUAGAGUUAAAGUAUGUCUUUAAAACCUGGUUAGAAUAAGACUUUGGAGUCUUGGGUUUACAGGAUUUAAACUUGCCUUAUAUCAGAGUCUUGAUCAGAACUAAUCUGGAUGAACACUUUUAGAGUUUUUGACUUUAUAUAUACAAUAGUCCUUUGAAGCAGGAUCUUUAGAACUUUUGAUGAUGCUUGUUCAGAAGUUGCAGAGUUAAUUCUUAUGACAGAGUCUAUUUGCAUCAAAUUGCUCCAGUCUUCAGAACCUUAUUGAUCUUUGAAUAAGGUUGGUCAUCUGAAAGAUUUGAGUUGAUUCUUCAGAGUUUGAAGGCUUUGGUUCUGAUUCUUCAAAUUCAUAUUAACCUUUCUUUCUUUAAUGAUUAUUCUUAGUGAUUAACUUUAUUUAUGUCAAGGUUAAUAUCUUUUGAUCCUGCACAAUAGAAUAACCAUUAGUAAACCCUAUUGUUCUUUAAAUAUUUUGUUAUCAUCAAAACCUUUUAAGGGUGUGAACAAAUCUUGUUCCAACAACAUCAGAGGCUGAGGUUUGUAAGCCCCUCCUAAGUUGUACAAUCCAUUAAGUUGAGGUUUGUAAGCUCCCCCUAAGUCUGAUAGUUCAUUAAGACGAGGUUUGUACGCUCUUUUAAUCUUAUAAUUUUAAUCAACAAAUUCUAACAUCAGGGUCUGAGUUUUGUAAGUUCCCCCUGAGUUUGACAAGCCUUAGGUUGAGGUUUGUAAGCUCUUCCUUUAGUCUGACAGUUCAUUAACGUAAGGUUUGUAGGUUUUCCUUAAAUACUUGUCUUUGUUUAAUUAAAAUUAUUCAUUUAAGCUCAAUAAGAUAAACUACUUAAAAAUAUAAAUAACAUAAAGCUUAUAAAUCAGAAGUUAUUUUGGCAGAAACUGCUUUGUUCAAGUUCUGAUACUUUAGACUCUUCUUAAAUACUUUAUUCAUUCCCCCCACCCACCAUUUGUCAUUAUCAAAGAGAUUUAAGAAAGAAAGAGAAAGAUAAUAAAACUGACAAGAAAAAUAUAAAACAGUUUAAGUGCACAAAAUUUUGACAAAGUUGAAAACAUUGACAAAUUUGAAACAAUUUAAUAGUUCUGACACCAACCGAUAUAUAUGACGCCAAUUGAGAAUUUCGAAACUAUUAAAAACUUUCCAAAAUACAAUUUAAAAUAAUUAAAUUUUUUUAAUAAUCUGAAAGAAUUUCUUUACUUCUUAUGGUAAAUCACUACUGUUUUAGUUCCCAAGGAGUAAUUAUGAUCCAGUAUGGCAUGCUUAAUUAGUGAUUGGCUUUGAGAAUUUCAAAGAUCAUAAUCUUAAACACACAAAGUGUUUGAUCUUUCGAAAUUUUGUUAUAAGAGCACAUGUUCAGGCCAAAAACACGAGUCCUCAUUCACUCAACAUACGUUUGUUUCAAUAUGAACACAACUUCUGAAUAAUCUACUACUUCUAUAGGUUCAGAGGCUCCUCUAGUCUUUGAUUCAACUUCUGAUCAGAAAGUUAGACCCCCGGAAGGAAUUAUUUCAACCUUUCUUAAUUAGGCGUUGAAGCCACUUGAGAAGAUUAUUAGGAAGAAGAAGUCCAAGAAGAGAAGAAAAUUAAGACAAGUGUUUCAUUUCGAUUCAGAUGAAGAAGAGAAAUUGGAUUUAGAUUGGGGAAUUUUUCUCUGCUUGGAGACCUAGGGAUGAUUGGGAUUUUUGUUAUAAACAUCUUUUUAUAAUCAUUCCUUUUUUCAAUGAAUUCCUUUUCGCUUUUUAAUUAGCAUACCAUCCUUUUAAUCAUUAGUUAAUUUCUUUAUUGCAAACUAAUUUAAGAAGUUCAAAAUUCAGAAGGAAAAACCAACACUCUUAACUUGAUAUUUCUUUUUCAUUCGAUUCAUUUGAUACAUCCAAUUAACCAUAAAAAUUGCUUUGGUUAUACAAUCAGAGACUAAGAAAGAAUACAUCAAAUUUAUCUAAGAAUCUGAACAUACAAGUCUUAAGAAAAAUAAAAUAAAAACUAUGCACAAAAGAGAAACUAAAAAUGCUCUAAGAGCAAGUGACAAAAAUGAAAAGAAAAAUAAAUUACUACAAAAAUUAAAAGAAAAACAUCAAACAAAGACAACUUAGAGAAACUGUUGAGGUUUGGUGGAAGAAGAAGAAUGAGAUGGAACUGGAUUUUCCUUGAGUCCAACAUGAUCUUCACCAACAACUUUUUAGCCUUAGGUUAAAUGAAACUUCAUCCAGACUUACAACCUUUCCUUGCAUAUAAAAGAGUUCACCUAGAACUCGUUCAGAAGGAAUGAGUAACCAUUUUCUCUUAACGAGAGACAGCAUUAUCUUCAGGAGGUUGAAGAUUACUUGAUGAAAUUUCACUUUUAUGCUUGAGUAAAGAAGAAGCAGAAGAUCAUAGUUAGAGAUUCUCAAUUCUUCAAAAAGAACUAGCCUUUCAUUGAUGAUCUCCAGUUGGUUUCUCACGCCAUGAUUUGAGCUAGAGGUCAUCCCAGGUUAGAACAGAAGUUAGAGAUAUGAGCUUUUGUAAACCAAGUAAAGGUUGCACAAUUGUGUCAACUAGGUUUGAGAGACAGGUUGUAAAACCAGAAUGAGAAACUUAGACCGAGGAGGAUAAGUUUAAAUAGGGAAUGAAAAGGAAAAACUGAAAGAGAAAAAUAUUUAAGACAACUAGAUUUUGAAAAGACAAAACAGAAAAUAUUUUAGAAAAUCAACAAGUAAGAUAAACAAGUACAAAGAAAAAAGUAAGACAUGACAAGAGAGAGAGAGAGAGAGAGAGAGAGAGAGAGAGAGAGAGAGAGAGAGAGAGAAAGUACAAAGAAAAAAGUAAGACAUGACAAGAGAGAGAGAGAGAGAGAGAGAGAGAGAGAGAGAGAGAGAGAGAGAGAGAGGCCAUAUAGAAUCCAAGGGGUAAAGCAUCACUACUCUACGGAUUUUGCCCGAAUAGCAUCAUAAUUAGCAUAACAAUUUUCAAACACGUGGAUUUUUAUAAAAAGUUACAAGUAAUCCUUAUUCUUUUUCUGAGUCUCGCAGCCUGGCGCUUUUCAGAGGUCACAUGUCAUCAGAAUUUGUUCAAGACUUUGAUGAACCUACUUCUUAUUAGAAUUAGUCUUUGAUACUCGAUAUUCAAAAUCAAACUUUUAAAAUUAGAUCAUAAACCCUUUCUUAGAUAAGAACUAAGCUUUAAAAGAAAAAGGGUAAGACACGUAAAACAACUCAUUAAAGAGUUGACUUGAACAACAACAUAUUUCUGAUCAAAACUUUUGGCCCAUAAUACUCGGUUCAGAAUAAAGAAUAUGAAUAAGGAUACAAAAGAAUAUUUUUCACUUAUUCUGAGAAUUAUUAUGUAGAGAUAUUAUCUAGGAUGGUUAUGUAUCAAUGAGAUAGUUACAUAAACUAAAAUAAACAAGGAUACAAAAGCAUAUGCUUUGGUGCAAUACAAUUUGUGUUGUUGUUUCUGGCUCACAAAAAUACAUGUUAAAAAAAUUAGAAUUUUGUAAAAUUAAAAAAUAUAUAUUUUAACAAAACAAAAUAUUUCACCACGGUUGAGUCUUGGAACCGCGGCGAUAUGCAGUCAGUUAUCUAGUUUAAUAAUAUGGAAAAAAUGAUAUUGUUGGGAAUCAAAUGACCUUUCUACUUUUCACUAUAAUUGUUUAUUUCAUCCAUGGUGGUAUCUAGCGCACUUUCCGUUUUAAUACCACGAUCAAUAGCCCAUUGUGGUAAGUAUCUCACUUACUAUCACACCCUACAUUACCAUAAACCAUCAAUUGUAUUUAAAUGUCUAUUCCAAUGGUUGUAAAAUGUAUAUUUUGAAGUAAUAAUUACACUUGAAGAGAUACAACACACGGCGACAACAACAACACACAUCUAAUUCACACAUAGUAUACACUAAAUUAUGUACAACAUCUAAUGGCACUUAAACACAUGCACUCCAAUAAUACAUACACAUGAUUGAUCAAUUUACAUUUGAUAUGAAACAUCAUAAAUAGAAACAACACCACAUAUUAUAGCAAAAUCAAACCUCCAUAAAACACAAAAAGAAAAUAUGCAAGAUGUGGAAGGAUGGUUACCAACAAGAAAAUCUUUGAAGAUGGAGAAUCUUUGUGCUAUUUAUAAGACCAACAAUGGCUUCUUCUAUCAACUCUUGGUACAAAGGACAAUUUUUUCUCUUCCAAAAUUUCCAGCCUUUCCUUACACUCUCAAAAACUUGGCCCCUUUUUUCACAAAGUGACUCUAAUUAUAUUAAAAUGCUAGGUUUUUGGAUGGGGAAAGUGACAAAACUUGCUAGGGUUUGAGAUAGGGUUUGAGAUAGUGAUGUAAGGUAGAGAAAUGUAGACUUAUGAGAGGAAAAUGUGUUGUUAAAUUUGGUCCUUAAGUCAUCUACAUGCAGCAUGCAAGGUGACACAUGAAUCUCCAAAAUGGAAAGGCGAACCGGUGAAAGUGAGAAAGUGAAAGAAAAUUAUCAUCAAAGAGGAAGAUGCUUUUAGGUUAAUGCUAAAAAUCACCUUUGGUAAACCUUCUAACUUGUAUUUGAGAAAGGUUAAAGGGUAAACUUUCUCAUUUAGCAUUUUAAAAUUCAAAUUCAAAAUUAGGUGAUUUGUUAAAAAAAAACUAAAAAUGCUAAAUAACUAUUUAUUUUAUUUUAUAAUGGGAUUAACAACAAUGGUAAAUAGUGAUAAAUAAAAAUGAAAGAUUUUUUUUUUGUAUUUAGAGGUUAUUAGGGUACUACAUCUAUGAAAAGAAUAAAUUAUAGACUGCCUUGUAAUGAUUGGGUUCUUUGAGGUCCUUGCCACCUUAGUGUAAAUGACAUGCACCUUAUGUGAGGCUCUCACAACAGUUUUUGGAAAUGAUUUUUUGUUUUGUUUACCAAAUUGACAAGCAUUGCAAUUUGGAAAAUGAUCAUAAAGUAUUAGUAGAUCUUUUGUCAUAUAUUUCUUAUUCAUGUCAUCAUUCAUUGAAUAUGACAAUGACCAAGUUGCUUGUGCCAAACUUCAUUGGGACUGACUUCACUAAAAUAAGUAAUUUGCUUCUCCUCCUUUAUCUGAUCAAAACAUUAAAAUUUUACCUUUCAGAUUAACCCUUACAAUCUCCCGGCCAAAGGUGUCAAAGAUUAGACAAAAUUGAUUUUCAAAAGAUAUUUUAAAUCCAUUCGCAAUCAAUUGGCCUACAUUAGGAACAUCUUGGUCAAUAUCAUGUACAUAAAGAACAUCUAUGAAUGUCUUUAUACCUGAACUCGUUGAAAUUACAAUGAUUCCUUUUUCCUUUUUCAUUUUCUACAACUCGAAUUCCCUCAUAAAUCUUAGCACUUUCAUACCUCAAAUCCUGUCAAUUAGUUUGUAUUCUUACUUCAAAUAUUCUCUUCAAAUAGUACUGGAUCGCUUUUUCUAUUUUUAAAAACACUAACAAAAAGACAUGAUUUUGCUUUUGCCUUUCUAGUUUUUCUCUCCAUGUGAUAUUUUAGCUGGCCCGUGGUAGAAUUAUUCGGAAGGGUUGAAACACCAAAAUCCUCUUCCAUGAAUUCUCAAAGGUCCAAUGCUUCAAGGUAAGACUCCAUUCUUACUUUCCAAACGUCAUAGUUGGGGCCUAUCAAAUACGGGUGGAGAAACUUGUUUAAAUUUCCAUUUUCAUAGGUCAUGUAAGAUGAGAACACUGCUACUGAGUUUUUGUUUUAUGGCGAAGAAAAAUAAAUAAUUGAAGAAGGUAAUAUGUUGAAAAUGACAACUGAGAUGAAAUAGGAAAAAUGGGUUUAUUAUUUCAUUAUGCUACAAUACACUUAAAAGUGUCUUUCAAUUCAAAACAUAACACUACCAUAGUUUUAUAAAAUGAACAAUAUUUUAUUUUUUUUAAUAAAUAAAAAAAAUAUAUUUAUAAAAAAAAAAUAUUUUUAAAAUUAUUUUUAUAACAAAAAUAUAAAAAAUUUCAUUACUCAAUUUUAUUAUUGAAUUAACCACAAGAAUAGAGGUUAUUAACCACAUAUUUUAUUUAUAAUUUAUUAACCAAAUUUACUAUUUCAUUAUUCAAUAAAAUACAUAAUAUUAACUAAAUUCUGACAUUAAAAUAUGAAAUAUAGAUUUGAUUAAAAAUUAAUUAUUAUAUUUCAUAUUUUAAUGUCAGAAUUCGGUUAAUAUUAUGUAUUUUAUUGGUUAAUUAAGUAGUAAACUUGGUUAAUGAAUUAUAAGUAAAAUAUGUGAUUAAUCACUUAUAUUUUUGUGGUUAAUACAAUAAUAGAGUUGGUUAAUUAAAAAAAUUAUAUUUGUGUUAUAAAAAUAAAUUAUAAAAAUAAAAAUAUUUUUUAUAAAUAUUUUUUUUAUUAAGAAAAUAAAAAUAAUGUUCACCAUAUAAAUACGAUAAACAACAUUGGAUGUAACAAUGCUCUAUAAAUAAUAAGACAAUCAUGCAGGAAAAACAAAUAAUUGACAGAUUUGUUAUAAUAUGCCUACCGAUAAAAAAGAUAACAAAUUUUUUACUAGUAUAUAUAUAAUAUAAUAUAUAAUAUUAAUAUUAUAUAUAUAUAUAAUAUAUAUAUAUAUAGUAUAUAUAUAAAAGAAGGGCAAAAGCCCACAAUAGAGUAAAAAAAGAGCCAGCAUACACAUGGAGUGUCAGAUUAACAAAACAACAAACUACAUAAAAUAGAAGAAAUCAAAACAAAUCUAAUAGAAAAAUACAAUUAGAGACAACCACCAACGAUAUAGAAAUUAUUAAAGGAUAAAAAGAAAGCCCAAUAACCAAUCAUGUAGCGAGACACCACCCAACAUGGACCAAGCUAGAGCUCGGACACUAAAUUCACCAACACAAACCAAAAGCUCAAGGAAACAUCAACAAGCCACUAAAUACCUGGGGGAUAAACCAGGAAUCUCAAUCUGCUACUGAUUUAGACAUGGGAUAGGGUUCGGAAGCCAAUUUUAAAAAGAAAGAGUUCGAAGGGGCUUUAUUGAAAAACCAACUUCAUGCUAAAAAAAUACUCGUAUCCACCUUUUUGACAUUUAUUGACGAACCUGUUAAAAAUCUUAUUAUUACGAAGAUACUAGAUAUUCCACACAACAACAUGCCAAACCCUUAUAAACAUACCCCUAGUUUUAGCCUUAGAAAUCAACCUAAGAUCCGUAGGAAGAGUCAAUUGCAUCCUUAAAAGCCUAAAAGGUCUAUACUAGACACUAAAAGACAAACUACAUACCACAAACAAAUGGAAGGUUGACCCAACCUGAUCCCCAUAAAGGGUGCAAGAGGUCUUCUAUGUAUCAAGAAUGACCUUCCCCUUGAAUAAGUUUUCCUUCGAAAGAAAUCUAUUUUGCAAAAAUUUCCAAGAAAAAUUAUCACCUUAGAAGGGGCCUAGCUCUCCCAAAUUCCAGGUAGAUAUGGGAACAAUUAUCACCAUUCUCUUCUAAGAUGAGACCACAACCAUAUUAAACUUGAUAAGCAUUAGCCAUAGAGAAGGACCCUUCGCUAUCAUAUCUCCAAACUCACAUAUCAAAGUUCACAUUAAUCUGGACCUCUUGGAGAGCCAAGAAAAACUCAGCAACCGUAGGUUCUUCAUGAACAAAGAACAAUCGUCUCCAUUUAAGGUCCCAAGUAAUCCUCCCCUGAACAAAUCUCCCAACCACAACCACGGUACCAUAUUGGAUUUGCUAAAUAGAGAAAAGUAUCUGAAAUAUAUUCUUAAAUAAGUACUAGCUAGCUAAGAGUCUCCCCAUAAGGAAGUUGAAAGGCCGGACUCAACCUUCUUAGUAAAACACAUCUCAAACCAAUUUGAAUGAUCGUCUUUCUUGGAUCCAUGUAGAGACAUUCCUUUCCACCGAGUGAAAAAAUUACAGUACCCCAAGAACCUACCUUCACACCAGGAGAAGACAUUAGAUGCACCACAAUAGGUAGAAAGAGUGCCAGACAAAAGACUAGAGGAACCCGUCAAGAUUCUCCAUCUCCACUUGGCUAAAAGGCAUAAAUUAACUAGUCAUAGAUCUUUAACACCAAUACCCCAUACUUUUUGAGUCACAAACUUUGGACCACCUAACCUAGGGAAUUUUAGAAAUACCUUUCACCCCUCCCAAAAGGAAUCUCCUCUCCUAACCAACUUCUUCCACACUUUCACAAGCAUCCUUAGAAAAAAGAGAAAGAAAUCAGAAUAGCGUUAAUAACAGAGUUAAGAAAUAACCCUACCACGUAAGAUAACAUACCCAUGAGACCAAAAAUUUUAAGUUUCUUCCAUAUCAUAUUAACAAAAGGUUCCCAAGUAUAUUUUGACCAAGGGUUGACUCUAAUGGAAACCCUAGGUACCGAAAUAGAAGAUACUCAAACUUACAGUGCAGAAAACCCCUCGCAAGCUGGGGGAAAGAGGGAUCAACAUUAAUCUCAAUCAAGAUACUCUUAUGAAAGUCAAACCAUAUACCUUAGGUAAGCUCAAAUCCUCUAAGAAUGGCCUUAAUAGUCCAUAAAACUUCAACUUAUGGCUCUACUAAGAUUAAAGUAUCAUCAAUAUACUGAAGAUGAGAGACCUCUAAAUUGGAAUGACCAACUUUAAAAGCAGAAAAGAGAGAAAUCUCAAAAGCCCUCGGAUCAACCCACUUAGACCUUCAUCCAUAAGGAGGAAGAGGAAAGGAGAUAAGGGGUCUCCCUACUUUAACCCUCUUUGAAUCUUAAUUUUAUGGGUUGGGGAACCAUUAACCAACACAACCAGAUUACCAAAGAAGACACAAGCUUUAUUCCAGGAUUUCCACUUAUUAAUAAAGCGGAAUCUCAUAAGCAUAUAAUCCAGAAAGCUUCAACUUACUAAAUCAUACGCUUUGUUAAAAUCUCCUUUGAAAAUGGGAGACUCCUUCUUAGAUCUCAUUGUCAAGCCAAUCACCUCAUUGUCAACAACAACACCAUCCACCAACAUUAUCCCUUUAAGGAAGUUUGAAUGGUUAACACUAAUAAACUUAUCCAUCAUUACUCCCAAUCUCUGAGACAAAAUUGUAGCUACCAACUUAUAAAGGGAUACAACAAAGCAUAUUGGUCAAAAAUCACCUAAAUAAGUGGGGAUCUCAAUCUUGGGAAUAAGAGUCACAAAAAAGAGGAAAAAUUAUGUGGGAGAGUGUAAAACGAUGAAACUCGUUAAACAUAAUCCUCGCGUUUGUCCUUAAAAGAUUCCAAAACUUUUUUUAAAAAAAUUAAAGCACCAGGCCUCGGACUCUUAUUUUCAUCACACUGAGACACCACCCCAUCUAGUUCUUCAAGCUGGAAGGGAGAUUUAGGACCAAAUUAUUCUCCAUAGAGAUAGACCUGGAGGCCACCCCCAUCAAGUCUAGGAUGAGUAACUUAGGUUCUUUAAAUCUCUCAGAGAAAUAAGAAAAUAUCUCAUGAUAAAUCUUAGCCACUCCCUCGAUCCAAUCAUUCACCUUUCUUAAGAACUACAAUAGAAUUCCUUAUGUUCCACCUUUUAAUCGAUGCAUGAAAGAAACUUGUGUUAACAUUUCCAUCCUUAAGCCAUAUGGCCUUAGGUAUCAUGUAAAAUUGGGAAUCCUUCACCCUAAGCGAAGACCAAAUAUUAGUAAAGACUUUAGAUUUGGUCUCCACUUCCUCCAUAAAAAGGAGAUUAUUAUCUACCAACAGAUCCAAGUUUCCCACGACAUCCCCGAGAGUCUCAACAUGAGAAUCCAAAAAUCCAAACACACACUUAUUCCAACCUUUAAUAGUGGCCUUAAGAGAUCGAAGUUUACCCGUAAGGGUAAAAGCCUUCCAACCCUCACUGGACGGGGCCAACCAGGAAUUAAGGAUCAGAUUAGAGAACUCAGGAUGAGAUAACUAGUGAUUAUUAAAUCAGAAAGGUUUUGACCCCCGUAAUUAAUGAUCGUAACACUGAUAGGUAUACCUUCAACAAUGGAAAUCAACUCAAGAAAAACUUCACUUCAACUUUUAUGCUGAGGUUAGUCAUUCGUUUUAUCAUCACAAGCCUUCAUUAUUCAUAUACUCAACAAAAACACACCUUCAUUACUCAUAUACAUUACAAGCUUUUAUACAAGCAAUUCAAUUUAUCAUCUACCAUUCGAAUAUUACUAAUUUUACUAACUCAAAGCAUUUUAGCAACUUUGUAAUGUUUCUUAUAUGAAAUCUUAGAUUGUUUAUUGUUUAUGUUUAUGACACCAAUAUAUUUGUUACCUCUAAUUCCUAAUAAACAGUCUAUUUUUUAGAUGACUAGUUACAUUUGUUGAAUGAUAUAAUCCUCAUAUUGCCCUCAUAUUCAUGUAUUGUAAUCUGAUUAAUAUAUUGCUCGUAUUUUUUAGGUUACAUAUUUUUUGUGUUUCCUCUUAAUGGGUAAUAUUGGUGGUUCUGCCAAUGAAACCCCUGUUGCAUUGGCUAGAAAGAGAAGGAGAUUAAUUUUGAUUGACAAGAAGAAUAAGAACAUCAGUUGCAACAAAUAAAAUAUACCGAUUGAACAGAACAAUCCUUCAAUUUCAAAUGUAAGAACUUUUAACACAUGAAUAAAGAACCAUUCAAACCUGUUAUAAAACAUCCUUUUACACGAUCAUUACUUAAUAUUAGUCAAACAUAAUAUUCAUAUUACAUGCAACACCAUAAACUGGUGUUAUUACUACUUAGUAUUCAAAUUAAAUGGUCAUUCAUAACAUUCUUUUUACACUGUCGCUACUACUUAAAAAAUUAGUUGUUCAAACUGAAUAUAAAACAUCAUUACAAAGAUUGAUUAAACAUGAUUCAAAAGAUAAGAACUGGACUAACACCAUUAACCAUAUCACAUAAAAUCGUUUCCAAAACAUACACAUACCCCACCAAAACAUAUGACUUCUAUGCACAUCCUCAACCAACAUUUAUCGGUUCACCACAAACACUAAGAUUCUUGUGGAUGGAGGAUAGCAAAGUCAAAAUCCAGUACAUCUCCUCUCUUUCGCCUUCUGUGUUUGGCAAAGUCAUACCAACCGUUAGCAAGAAAAUUUUCCUCCACAUUGUUCCUUUCUUUUAGCUCGCACUAGCACUAAACCCUGAUGUUACUAUCAAGUAGCUACAUCGAGCUUUGAGGCCUUGACAAACACGUACUAAUCACUUCACGAGGAAUUUUUUACACAUAUAAACUAUUUAAUCAUUUACUGCCACAUGUACAAACUAAUAAUGAUCAUUGUUGUUAUAGACUAUACAACUUACCAGUACAUUUUUAUUUAUAACCUUCCUUGAUUUAACUUUCCUUUGCCAAAUGCACUAUUCGGACUCAAAUUUCAAAGAGUCGUCACUGUCAUCAUCCAAUGAACUAGUAUCUGCAUAACUACAUCUACAAUAUACAUAACAAAUACACCUUUAGCUAAUAGGCAUGCAUGGCAUAAAUCUAUGUCUUUAAAUCAACUUAAAAACAACAUGAAAACAUCAAUUCACUUUGGUUUACUUGUGAUCUUUAUGGGGAUAUUAUAUCAUAACAAUAAAGGUUUUACCUCAAACUGUUAGAUGAUAUUGAGAUAUGCGAAGGACUUGGAGACGGAUACCUUUUCCUUUUUUGUCCUUCCAACGCUUGGUUUCCAACUUGAGGUUUUGACUCCGCACCAACAACAUCUACAGAUUCCGCAAUUUUUCCUUUUCCUCUGUCAUCCUCUUCUGUUGUUGCAUUCAUUCCCACAAGAUCAGUUUUAUCCCCGGUUACACCACGUGAUGGAUAUGUGAGUUUACCUUUCCUUUUACCAACAUUGAGUUCUUUAACGCUUCCUUCUCUCUUCUUAAGCUUAUUCAACUCUUGUGUCUCCUCAUACUCCAAAUAAUCAAGAUCCAUCAUAAAUCUUCUUCAGGUUGCAUCUUUUUCCAUGUCAUAAUUUGAUCUAAAAAAAACUAAACAACAAUCAAAACCAUGGGUAAAUCAACAUGCAAAAGUGAGAAAACGUUUUGAUUAUGUCUUAUUGUUAUGAAAGAAUCAACUCGUAAAACGGAUGUUAAUCCAAAGCUAAGAAGCAACAUGUAAAAUAAAAUGUAAAUCAACAAGCAAAACGAUUCAACUAUGACUUGGAACAACCUCCCGAGUGAUGAAGUGGCCUUUUCGUUACUCAUGUUUUGGGAAGACAAAAGAACAGCUAGAUACUUGUGACUGUUGAUUUAAGAAGACAAAGAUUGGAAUGCAUUGAGUGUAACAUAUGUGAACUUUUCCAAUAUAUAGCAUGACAUGAUAUGAGUCUGUUGACAAUACAUUUCUUCAAUUUUUAAUUUUAUACAUUCAAUAAAUUAAAAGGUUAAGUUUUGAAAUUUCAAUAGUUAGACUUGAGUUUAUAAAAUAACCAUUUAAAUCAUUUCAUUAAUCUUUUAUUUUGGGUUUUCAUUAUAAUUAUUUUUUAAGUAAUUUUUAAUAAAAGAUCUUUUUAUCUUCUUUAUAUAAUUUAAUUUUUUUUAUUUGUUUUAAAUAUUAUUUUUUCAAUAAAAUAAUUUAACAUAUUCUUUUCAACAAUAUCAUUUAUAUAACGAUAUUUUUAUUAUUUUCUUUAUUAAAUUUUUAAUUUUUAAAAUAAUAUUUUGGGUAAUGCUAACUUGUGUCCUUGGGGCACAAGAUAAGAACUAAAGAAAUUAAUUUUGUGUUGGAAAUUGUGCAUUGAUUUUAAUAAAGAUAUAAAAUUAAUUUUAUAAUUGAUUUUUUCAAUACAAAUUUUCUACAAAUGGGUGUCUUAUCUUGUGCCUCUAGGACACAAGUUAGCAUUACUCUUUCUUUAAAUACUCUAACAUAAAAUUUUCAGUAUAUUGUAUAAAAUAAAUAUUAUUUAUAGAAAUAAUAUUAUUAAUAGUAGAUAGUUUAGUAGUUACAUAAAUUAAAAUACAAUAAACAAGGGUGAGUUAAUUAAAAUAAAUAAUAAAUAUUAUAUUAUUAUUUUAAAAAUAAAUAAAUAAUUUAAAACAAAUAAAAUAAGAAAGAUGAGGUCUAUUAUAAGGCGCAGGGAAUAUCAUUUAAAAGGAACAAUAGUAGAUAGUUUAGUAGUUACAUAAAUUAAAAUACAAUAAACAAGGGUGAGUUAAUUAAAAUAAAUAAUAAAUAUUAUAUUAUUAUUUUAAAAAUAAAUAAAUAAUUUAAAACAAAUAAAAUAAGAAAGAUGAGGUCUAUUAUAAGGCGCAGGGAAUAUCAUUUAAAAGGAACAAUAGUUGACAUGGGAAGAGAAAAGACGAUGACAUCAUCAAAAUCUGUCUUUCUUCUCCCCAUCUAUAAAUACCUUCCUUCCUCUCAAUAAUUUUUUAUUCUCAUCCCUUAACUUCAAUUUAUCAUUAUCCCAUCAUAAAACCUUUAGUUUUUUUUCUUUCUUAUUUUUCUACUUUUAUCAAGCACCAAAGAUGACUUGGGGUGGUUCCCCAAUGUGUUGGUGGUGUCACCGCCUCCUUCCUAUCUGUUGCCACCUUUGUCCCUAUCGCCUCCAUCCCAACCUAUACCACCGCCUCUACCCUAUAAAAUAUAAGGGAACGGGGGAGGGUGUCUUGGGUAAAUAGGACAAUAUGAAUUUUCACUGAGCAAGAGCACAAGUUAAGAAACUUAAAAAUAGAAAAAAUUUAUUGAAAAAACAAUAGAGUUAUUAAUUAUGAAUUUGUAUUAAGUUCAUAGUGCAAAUUCUAAGAUUUUUUUAUUUUAUUUAUCUCUUAACCUGUGCCCCAGGGACACAAGUUAGCAUUAUCCAUUUUUAAGUUUAGUUCAUUCAUACAUUUUUAAUGUUGUAUCUUCAUGUUUGUAAAUGUCCCAAUAAACUAAACAAAAAAAAGAAAUUCAUAUUAAUUAGAAAAUUGCAUAUUAUCAUAUUAAAAUAAGUAAUAUAAUUAGAGUUGUUAGAAUGGACUACCUGAUUCUAAAUGGGUCGGUCUUAGAGAGCCUCAGGCUUUUUAUGGUUGAAUCAGAAAAACUUUAGAAAAUUUUACCUUGUACCCCUACAAUUAAUCCCAUACCCCUACAAAAAUUUAAAAAUUCCCAUUUUACCCUUAAUUGGUUUUAACCAAUUUACCAUUUCAUUUUUACCAUUCAGUUGAAAAUUGCAAAAAUUACACUUUCACACCCCUCGCAACCGGAAUCUUGCAAAAAGACUUCGGUAUGUAUUUUUUCCAACCGGAAGACUUUAAGGAAAGACUUCCGGAAACAAAAAAAGCAACCGGAACACUUAAGGAAGAGUUCCGGUUCAGAUAAAAAAAUUCAAAAAAAUUUGCAUACCGGAACUCUUUGGAGAAGUGUUCCGGGUAUGCAUUAUGUGUGUUCCGGAAGUCUUUCCUAAAGUCUUCCGGUACGUUUUUUUUUUUUUAAUUUUUUUUUUUUUUUUUUUACAGAAAUGAGGGUAUUUUGGUCAAAAAAAAUUUAAUGUAGGGGUAUGGAUACAAUUGUAGGGGUAUAGGGUAAAAUUUUCAAAACUUUAUUGUAAUAUGGACAAAAAAUUACUAUUCAAGCCCGGUCCUAGAUGGACUUCGGGCUACCCGAUAUUAAACGAACUCUUUUUAAAUAAAAAAAUUAAAAUAAAAACCCCAUAAUAUUUAUUAUAAAUGAAAUUAAAAAUUAUAUUAUUUUAAAUAUAGUAUAUUUUUAAGUACUAUAUUAUCUUUUAUAAAUACUAUAAUGUGUUUUUAAAUACAACACAUGUCUAACUUGUAUAAAAUAAUACUCCAAUAUUUAACAUCAGAAAAACUAAUAGAAUACGAAGAAAGAGGGUUGAUUAUAUUAAUACUUAUAUUAUCUUACUCCAAAAUAAGAUAUUGAUUUUUCUCAUCUAACUAAAUUUUAUCUCUAUUAUAUUCAAUCUACCUACGAUCCAUAGGGCUAACCAUAAUGGAUAGCAAGCUUUUCAGGACCUGACUAAAAAAACCUGAAAAAUAUAAACUCUAAUUUUAAGGCGCAAACUCUAUGAUUUUUCAGGCUUUGGGGGUUGGUCCAUAUGGGAUAGCUUAUUUCGACAACUUUAAAGUCAAUAUUACAACAACUUUUAUUACAUUAUUAACUCAUCCCUUAUAUUUUAUGAAGGCGACAUGGAUAGAGGUGGCGGAAGAAGGGAAGGAGGCGGUGGCACUACCACUACCAUCACAUGGUGGAUUUUUGCAUGGGCAGCCUUUUACACAUUGGGGAACCAGCCUCAAGUCAUCUUUGGUGCUUGAUAAAAGCAGAAAAAGAAUGAAGAAAAAAAAGCUAAUGCUCUCAUGAUAGAAUAAUGAUAAAUUGAAGUUAAGGGGUGGGAAUAAAAAAUUAUUGAGAGAAAGGAAAGUAUUUAUAGAUGGGGAGAAAAAAUACAUAUUUUAGUGAUGUCAUCCUCUUUUCUCUUCCCAUGUCAAUUAUUGUUCCUGUUAAAUGAUACUAGUAAUAUUGUUUUCUUUAGAUACUGUAACAUAUAAAAUUUUCAGUACAAUUGAUUGUAUUAUCUUUAUCAAUUCUCAGGUCAAUUAUAGUUCCUGUUAAAUGUUGUAUUAAUUAUUGUUUUUAUUAUUAAUAGAUGUACAAGCUGCAGUAUUAUAAAAGGGUUAUCCCAAAGCAACAUGACCAUGGUUUCAUCAUCUUAGUAUUAAAAUAAUAAUAAAAAAGUGUUAUUAUUAUUUAUUUUAAAUAAUUUGGUAUAACUUUAAAAUUGGGAUAUGAGCCAUUUUAUAUGUAUAUUGAUGCAUAUAAAUGUUAGUCGAUGGACAUGAGAGACGAUUUAUAUGAUAAAUAAGUCAUUGAUAUCAAACUAAUCAAAUUUUCCAAAAAAAUAAUAUUAAGUUUAUGUUUUCUAAAUUUUAGCGCUCAUCAAGUUUAGUAUCGAUCAAUGCAAGUUUCGCCAACCGCGACAUGCAUGUUCUGUAUUAAUAAGGUGUGAUGGGAUAAAUGUAAUAUUGAACUGUUAAAACUUUGAGUUUAACUUAA